rnacentral:rRNA from 1 species
GCUUGCUUGUUGGGGUUGUAGGACACUCUAUACGGAGUUACAAAGGACGACAUUAGACGAAUCAUCUGGAAAGAUGAAUCAAAGAAGGUAAUAAUCCUGUAGUCGAAAAUGUUGUCUCUCUUGAGUGGAUCCUGAGUACGACGGAGCACGUGAAAUUCCGUCGGAAUCUGGGAGGACCAUCUCCUAAGGCUAAAUACUCUCUAGUGACCGAUAGUGAACCAGUACCGUGAGGGAAAGGUGAAAAGCACCCCGGAAGGGGAGUGAAAUAGAACCUGAAACCGUGUGCUUACAAGUAGUCAGAGCCCGUUAAUGGGUGAUGGCGUGCCUUUUGUAGAAUGAACCGGCGAGUUACGAUUUGAUGCAAGGUUAAGCAGUAAAUGUGGAGCCGUAGCGAAAGCGAGUCUGAAUAGGGCGUUUAGUAUUUGGUCGUAGACCCGAAACCAGGUGAUCUACCCUUGGUCAGGUUGAAGUUCAGGUAACACUGAAUGGAGGACCGAACCGACUUACGUUGAA